AAAAUGCGAUAAGUAAUGUGAAUUGCAGAAUUCAGUGAAUCAUCGAAUCUUUGAACGCACAUUGCGCCCGCCAGUAUUCUGGCGGGCAUGCCUGUUCGAGCGUCAUUUCAACCCUCAAGCCCCCGGGUUUGGUGUUGGGGAUCGGGCUGCGGUUCUACCGCGUCCCGGCCCCGAAAUCUAGUGGCGGUCUCGCUGCAGCCUCCAUUGCGUAGUAGCUAACACCUCGCAACUGGAACGCGGCGCGGCCAAGCCGUUAAACCCCCAACUUCUGAAUGUUGACCUCGGAUCAGGUAGGAAUACCCACUGAACUUAAGC
rnacentral:misc_RNA from 1 species